rnacentral:rRNA from 2 species
AAAUUGAAGAGUUUGAUCAUGGCUCAGAUUGAACGCUGGCGGCAGGCCUAACACAUGCAAGUCGAACGGUAACAGGAAGCAGCUUGCUGCUUUGCUGACGAGUGGCGGACGGGUGAGUAAUGUCUGGGAAACUGCCUGAUGGAGGGGGAUAACUACUGGAAACGGUGGCUAAUACCGCAUAACGUCGCAAGACCAAAGAGGGGGACCUUCGGGCCUCUUGCCAUCAGAUGUGCCCAGAUGGGAUUAGCUUGUUGGUGAGGUAACGGCUCACCAAGGCGACGAUCCCUAGCUGGUCUGAGAGGAUGACCAGCCACACUGGAACUGAGACACGGUCCAGACUCCUACGGGAGGCAGCAGUGGGGAAUAUUGCACAAUGGGCGCAAGCCUGAUGCAGCCAUGCCGCGUGUAUGAAGAAGGCCUUCGGGUUGUAAAGUACUUUCAGCGGGGAGGAAGGUGUUGUGGUUAAUAACCGCAGCAAUUGACGUUACCCGCAGAAGAAGCACCGGCUAACUCCGUGCCAGCAGCCGCGGUAAUACGGAGGGUGCAAGCGUUAAUCGGAAUUACUGGGCGUAAAGCGCACGCAGGCGGUCUGUCAAGUCGGAUGUGAAAUCCCCGGGCUCAACCUGGGAACUGCAUUCGAAACUGGCAGGCUUGAGUC